UCCCAGUGUCACCAGGAUAGGGAGGUGUU
rnacentral:sRNA from 1 species